CAGCACCUCAAGUGGUCAGGAGGAUUAUUGGGCCUAAAGCAUCCGUAGCCGGCUGCACAAGUCUUCGGUUAAAUUCAUAUGCUCAACAUAUGGGCUGCCGGAGAUACUGUGCAGCUAGGGAGCGGGAGAGGUGGACGGUACUCGAUAGGAAGGGGUAAAAUCCUUUGAUCUAUUGAUGACCACCUGUGGCGAAGGCGGUCCACUAGAACACGUCCGACGGUGAGGGAUGAAAGCUGGGGGGGGAGCAAACCGGAUUAGAUACCCGGGUAGUCCCAGCUGUAAACUAUGCAAACUCAGUGAUGCAUUGGCUUGUGGCCAGUGCAGUGCCGCAGGGAAGCCCGUUAAGUUUGCCGCCUGGGAAGUACGUACGCAAGUAUG
rnacentral:rRNA from 1 species